rnacentral:rRNA from 1 species
GUGAGGAAUUUUCCGCAAUGGGCGAAAGCCUGACGGAGCAAUGCCGCGUGAAGGAUGAAGGCCUAUGGGUUGUAAACUUCUUUUCUUAGAUAAGAAUAUUGACGGUAUCUGAGGAAUAAGCAUCGGCUAACUCUGUGCCAGCAGCCGCGGUAAGACAGAGGAUGCAAGCGUUAUCCGGAAUGAUUGGGCGUAAAGCGUCUGUAGGUGGCUUCAAAAGUCUCCUGGCAGAGAUCAGGGCUUAACCCUGGGCCGGCAGGAGAAACUCUGAGGCUAGAGGUUGGUAGGGGCAGAGGGAAUUCCCGGUGGAGCGGUGAAACGCGUAGAGAUCGGGAGGAACACCAAAGGCGAAAGCACUCUGCUGGGCCACAACUGACACUGAGAGACGAAAGCGAGGGGAGCAAAAGGGAUUAGAAACCCUGGUAGUCC